CGGCCACCGCUAUUGGUAUUCGAUUAAGACAUGCGAGUCGAGAGACGUAAGGUCUCGGCGGACCGCUGAGUAACACGCGGAUAACAUGCCCUGGGGUGGGGGAUAACCUCGGGAAACUGAGAAUAAUACCCCAUAGGUUUAGGGUGCUGGAAUGCCUCUAUGCUGAAAACUCCGGUGCCCCAGGAUUGGUCUGCGGCUUAUCAGGUUGUAGUGGGUGUAACGGACCCACUAGCCUAUGACGAGUAUGGGCCUUGAGAGAGGAAGCCCACAGAUGGACUCUGAGACAUGAGUCCAGGCCCUACGGGGCGCAGCAGUCGCGAAAACUUCACAAUGGGAGAAAUCCCGAUGAGGGAAUACCAAGUGCCAGCACUUUUGUGUUGGCUGUUCUCUUGUCUAAAAAACAGGAGAAGUAAGGGCCGGGUAAGACGGGUGCCAGCCGCCGCGGUAAUACCCGCGGCCCGAGUGGUGGUCGAUAUUAUUGAGCCUAAAACGUCCGUAGCCGGUCUCAUAAAUCCUUGGGUAAAUCGGCCAGCUUAACUGUCCGAAGUCCGAGGAGACUGUGAGACUUGGGAUCGGGAGAGGUCAGAGGUACUUCUGGGGUAGGGGUAAAAUCCUGUAAUCCUGGAAGGACCACCGGUGGCGAAGGCGUCUGACUAGAACGAAUUCGACGGUGAGGGACGAAGCCCUGGGGCGCAAACGGGAUUAGAUACCCCGGUAGUCCAGGGUGUAAACGCUGCGGGCUUGGUGUUGGGGGUCCUUUGUGGGCGCCCAGUGCCGGAGAGAAGUUGUUAAGCCUGCUGCUUGGGGAGUACGUCCGCAAGGAUGAAACUUAAAGGAAU
rnacentral:rRNA from 1 species